CUGGGAAAGAGAAACUUUCCUUAUAUAGUUCCUAUGGAUUUGAUAGUAUGAAAGUGAAAGGUCUGGAGGUAUCAUAUUUUGCAUUCAUCAGGAGCCUAAGGCUGCCAGUGACCAACACCUAGAAUAUGGGAAUGAAGGAAGCCAACCUUCAGGAGCCAGAAUACAGAGAUGAGACCUGGUGGCCAUUUGUUUCUAAAUAAAGCUGUACCUGAAGAUAUCAUUCCCCAAAGACCCUGCCAUUAUAUGAGACAACGGUUACAUUUUUUGUUUAUGGCAAUUUAAGUUGAAUUUUCUAGUGUUUGUCUGAUGAUGACAACUGCCUUUAAGUUUUGUUUAUCUAAUAUUGGAGUGAACGAAGACAGGACUCUAAUCUGAUUGUGGGUCAUAAGACCCUCAUUCUAGAGAAGAUCCUGCCCCAUACCCAGGAGGAAGGAAUGCUGCACAGAAAGGAGUGAAGAAUCUGAACAGUUUGGCCUUUGCUGAGUUUAAAUCAUACCCUUUUUGUCCAGUCACAUUGUGACAUGGUUGUCCGUGAUGCAAUCAUGCCUAUCCAAUGAAGUAAGUCUCCAUAUAAGGCCUGAGAGGACGGGAUUCAGGGUCUUCCAGAGAGCUAAACAUGGGGAGACCUACAGGAAGAUGAACAAGAACUCAUCCAUAUGUAAGAAGGGUGGUGCACCCUACCUCCAUGGAGGCAGAAACUGCUACACUCAAGACCCUUCCAGACCUCACCCUAAGUAUCUCUGGCUCUUUAUUUGUAGUCUUUAAAAUAUCCUUUACAAUAAACAAAUAAACACAAAUAAAUGUU